rnacentral:rRNA from 1 species
CUCUGCCUCCAAAAUGCCUUUUCACUAGUUCCCGAUGGAUCACUGAUGUUAAGCAACGUUGAGCUUGUUUAGUAUCUGGAUGGGUGACCAUCUGGGCAAUCGCGUGCUGCUGGGG